UACGUAGGGUGCGAGCGUUGUCCGGAAUUAUUGGGCGUAAAGAGCUCGUAGGCGGUGUGUCGCGUCGGUCGUGAAAACUUGGGGCUUAACCCUGAGCUUGCGGUCGAUACGGGCAUCACUGGAGUUCGGCAGGGGAGACUGGAAUUCCUGGUGUAGCGGUGAAAUGCGCAGAUAUUGGGAGGAACACCAGUGGCGAAGGCGGCUCACUGGACCGGAACUGACGCUGAGGCGCGAAAGCGUGGGGAGCAAACAGG
rnacentral:rRNA from 1 species